AGGGAAGGAAGGUUCCCAUGUAACCCCAUAAAUUUCCUGCUCCAUGCAUUGGAAGUCUCUGAUUUCUAAUAAAAUUCUCAUGAGAACAUAGAAUUGCUCCAUAAAAACCCCUGAAGUCUCCCCAUGAGAACCGGCUGGUUUAUAAGGGCACACGGGUUCACGGCUGCGGUUUAUUUAUUAAAAAUUUCUCAGUAAAUAUAUCAUCGUCAGCUGGAGAGCGCCCGGCGACUGGUGAGGCCAUGCUUCACCCCUGCCAUCGGAGAACUAAGGCAAACAAGGGCGGGCGGGGCAGGGACUCCCUGAACCAGAGGAACCGAACUUUUCUUGUUUUUUAACCAGAGAAAGUCCUAAGCUUGUUUUACCUCUGACCGAUGGGACCACCCGGGAGUUUCCCAGCUGCUCGGGGAGACUUGAAUUGGGAAGUCCUGGUGCCCAGGGGCCCACCCAGGAGAGGCCAGGGCCUGGUCCCUGGGGGCAGCACAGGACUGGAGAAGGCAGAGCAGUGGGUCCUGUAGAUGUGAGGGCGGCUCCGGGAUUCUGAUGGCUGGGGAAGCACCAACUUGCGCCUGGAGUUGCGAAGUCAUGGAUCUACCGAGACUCAUCCCUCCCCACCUGGUGACCCUGCGGGCAGCCUGUUCGGGACCCACAAGCUGGCUGCCCUCAUCUCCAUUGCCCACAGACGCAGCUGCCACCAUCGUCCUGGCUUUAGGGGCAAGGAAUGUCCCCACAGGAGCCUGAGGGACACCUGAAGCCACCAUGGCUUGUCAGGACACAGCAGGAAACUGAACCCAACUCCCCACUCUGUCCUCGUUUUUACCCUGUGUGCCAACCACCCCUACUUCCAGACCAGAGGGUGAGGAGGAACACGUACUCCGCACUGGGGUGGGUUAGGGACGCCUGGGGGAGCACAGGCCUCCGAGUCCCUGCUGUGAGCAGGUUGCCUGCCUUUUUCCUUUUCCUCCUGCCCAGCCCAGAGCCAGAGCUACGACUGUAAAACCCUUAUCCAAGUAAGCCGAAGAGCCCGAGGGCAUGGUGAGCUGGUGCUGAGGUCAGUGUCUGCCUUGGGGCUCCUGGAUGCUUCACCCAAUGACCCAAAGCGGAGAGGCUGGGUUUGGUCUGUGCCCGAGAAAGCAUCAUUGCAAAAUUUUAAAAUGCACUUCCUGUGUGUGCUGGAGAUUGAACCCUCGGCCACCACACAGAGCUGCAUCCUGAGACCUUUUAUGUUCUGAGACAGGGUCCCACUAAGUCACUAUAGCACACGCUGGGUCUGAACCUACCAUCCUGCCUCAGCCUCCCGGAGUGCUGGGCUUAGAGGUUUGCACAACUGUGGCUGGCUUAGAUUUGUUUUUUAUUUUUCUUUUGGUCUUUUUGAGGCAGGGUCUUGCAAUGCAGUUCAGGCUGGCCUUGAGUUACUUUGUAAUCCAGACUGAUCUCAAACUCUCAACAAUCCUCCUGUUUCAGCCUCCUGAGUGCUGGGAUCACAGCUGUGCACCACUCUGCCAUGCAAGAUUUAUUUUUUAAAGCAGUUUAGGUUCACAGCAAAAUUGAGCAGACUGGUAGAGACCACCUAUACAUCCCAGCCAUUCCACCCACAGUCUGGGGGCAUCUGUGACAUGGUUUGCACAGAGGCUGCUGUUCUGGACAAAUGCACAGUGAUCUGCAUGACAGUCUCUGCCUGCUGCCCUUCCUCCACCUGCUCAUCCUGAGCCCCAGGCCAGCUCACUGACUGACUGACCGACCUUCUGCUGUCUGUUCUGCUGUCUGCUUAUCUUGCCUAGAAGGUCAGACUUGAAGCUGUUUCAGACUGGUGCCUUCCUCCUGGGGAUCUACAGCUCGGUUUGCCCCACCUGCUCGUGGCCUUCUUCUAAGCUAGGAGUAGCUUCGGCCUGCACAGAAUGAAAAGCUCUUCCCAGAGCAGGGAUGCACAGACCCAUGGCACCCGAACCCUGUUCCUGACCCUGAAGAGUUGUGGGAGGUGACCAUGGCCAGGGUAGCCAAGCUCACAGGUCCCCUGGGACCCUCAGCCCAGGCCCCUUUGAUCCUGCCAAACCUGCUCAGCUCUGGAGGAGGAGUUUGCUGGGCCUCAUUCAUGCUGGAGCCUGGGCUAUCCUUACCCCGAACACUCCAGCCGGAGCAGGCGAGGAAGCUGCUGAGAAAAUGCCGUACUCAGUGCACAAGCCAAGCUUUGCACAAGUCUGGGGCUCAUCUAGGUGGGCUUCUGUGCAGGCCCAGCAACCGAACCCCAGGUCUGCGUUUCAGAGAACAAAGCUGGAUUCCUGUGACCCAAGAAUGCAGUGAGUGCUGGGGAGGGAAGGAGCGCCACCUGGCGACCAUACUGUGUCACAGGGCUCCAGGGCUCUGGGGGCCUGGGGAAGCCUCCCAGGGCAGGGACCAACAGAAGGGGACACACUCACCUCCUAUGCCUCACAGGUGUCACCAGGAUGAUCCCUGUGAUCCCCUUUGUUGCAACCUUGAAUCACGGCUCAGUCACUGGAAAGUGACCAGGAGGAGAAGGCAGGCAGCCGUUUAUCUCAAACCCUGGUCAGCACUGAGCCUUCAGCUGACAGUUACUGAAAAUACGAGGCUGAAGUCCUGUGUGUUUUCAUAACCUUACAGAGCGCGGCUCGGACCUUGUCCGCCUGACUCUUACUCAGAUUAAUGUGUAAUUUCCUGACUGCUGGAGAAGUCGUCACUCUCUGAAUCCUCAGGACGUUUGCCCUGGGCCAGAGAUGGCUCGGUGUCCUCAAGGGGAGCUGCUGCACCUGGCACCCCUGAGCCCGCUGUCCUGCUGCAGUGUUGGGCAUCCACCUCUCAAGACCCUGGACGGACCUCAUCCCCCUGGGCCCCCAAGGCCCAGGUGCAGAUGGACAUCACGUGGCUGACUGUGAAAUUCUCAGCCAGGCCAGGCCAGGCUGGAGCACCCGGAGGCGUGGUGCAUUGCACCAGGGCCAGUAGGGCAGCAGCUCAGAGAAGCAGUCUGGGGCGAGGCCCCUUCUGCCUGGCCUUGCUUGGGGAACUGGGUGGACACUGAUCACCCACACUACCCGCCUCUGCCUUUUCUGCAUCGAGGGUGCUCGCCUGGGGCUUAGCACGAAGAGCACAGGGAUUCGGCCACCAGUCCACAGGUCAUACCCGUGCCUGGGGAGGGCGAGAGAACCUGUCCACACAGCCAGGCCCCGGACAGUGCCUUUGCUACAGGAGGGGCAGAGACUCGGAAAAGACACAUUGCCAUCCACCUCCCUAAAAUCCUCCCCUGCUUUGAAGAUGUGAGUUUUCUGGCGUAAAGAGAAGCAGAAGAGAGUGAAAAUGGCCAUUUAUUUGGGGACAUGGAGAAGAGCUCACAGCCCGAAGGGUUUGGCUUUCGCCCUCUGGAGGGAUGCAGCCAGGCAGAAGGUUGUGUGACCGGAAGUGGUACGUGGGGUGAGCGUUGAUGACGUGUAAGGGCCUGAUUGGCGUUGUCUUCGCGGGCAAACGGGAAAGUAACAAUUUGGACUGAAGGGGAGGAAGGAGUGGCUGUCAGGGCAAGCGUUCUGCCUUGGCCUUCCAUGUUAGACCAUCACCAGAGCUGGUCAGUGAUUUAUACUAGGGCAAGAGCCUUUCAGAAGACACUCACCCCACCGUUCUGGCCACUUUCUGACGCGGUUCGGCGUCCUCUUUCCGCAGCAUUUCUGCGAGUUUUGAGCCACAUACGACGAACGCGGCUGCCCAGUGCUGCCCACUGGAAGGCGGGCAGGUCCUGGUCACUAGAUCUGGGUCUGGCUUUUCCCCAAGUCAGAAUAACGUGGAGGCCGCCAGCCCUAUGCCAACAGCAGACUCAGGAAAGCAGCCUUGACCAGCUUGAGCAUGAAGGACAGAUGGGACCGCGGUGUCUCCUGAGGGGCACACUGGGGGUGACAGCGUGUGUGUCUCUUACUGUAAUACAUCUAAAAACACGGAGGUACUCUGCAGUUUUUGGUCCCAUCUCCAUUUCUUGAUUUAUCAUCUUGGAGCCCUGAGAACUGACUUAGCUCCUCUUGCUGUGAGGAAUCCUAGGACCUGAAGCCCAGUGCAGUGAAGCUCUGGCCUGGGUUCCUUGCUCCAGCCCCGCUUCCCUGGGAGGAGUGUGGUCCCUGCCCAGGCAGGUGCUAGGACCUGGGCAGGGUGGCACCAUGUGGAAUUCCCUGCCUGCCUGGAGGAGGACACUCCUGACCCAGCCUGGCGUGGAUCUUGGGGUACCAAUAUUUAUGAUUCUUUUUAAAAAUGAGAACAGUCCCCUCUGCUGGACUAGAAACAACCUGAAGUCAGGCUCCAGGCAACCUCUGAAUGGAACUAAGCAAUAAACACCCGGUAAGGACUGAGUUGAUUGCGUGGGCACAGCGUGUGUAGAAUAACACAGCUGACCGCAGUGGCGCCGAGUGGGGGCUGAAGGAUGGAUGCCAAGCUAUCACUGCUGAGAUGAAGACACUCCUUCAUAGGAAGAGAGCACACACACACACACACACACACACACACACACACACACACGUGUACACACACAGGCACCCCGUGCACUCAUCCUGCGUGCUAUGUACACUGUGAAAGUUAGGGUUAAAGAAAACGGCCACUGCCACUUGCCAAGUAGAAGCUGAGCAUCCUGCUCCCGGAAGGGCUGUCCCAGAAGUUGACGUAGCAGAGGAUGUACACAGCCCCCACCAGCAGGUUGAAGAGCCUCCAGUGGCAGGUGCUAUCAACGAUGUCACUCUGCUGGGCUACGAGCCAGAAGGUCAUCGCCAGCCAGUGCAUACCUGCAGAGAGACAGAAGACAGAGAGACGGAGAGAGAGACAGGGGAGACAGGGACAGAGGGAAGCAGAGAGAAGACAGAGAGACAGAGAGAGAGAACAGGGGAGUCAGAUAGGGACAGAGGGAGACAGAGAGAGAGAUGAGAAAGACAGCCAGGGACAGAGGGAGACAGAGAAAGAGAGCCAAGACAGGAGAGAGAGUGAUAGCGACAUAGACGGGAGAGAGACAGAGAUAGACCAAGAGAGAGAGAGAGAGAGAGAGAGAGAGAGAGAGAGAGAGAGGGAGACAGAGAGACAGGAGAGACAGACAGGGACAGAGGGAGACAGAGAGAGAGGCAGAGAAAGAGGCAAGAGACAGACAGAUGGGAGAGGGAUUGAUAGGGUAGACAGACAGAGAAAGAUAGAAAGAGGGAGAUAGGAAAGAGACAGAGAUGGGGGAGAGAGAGAGACACACAGAGAUGGGGAGAGAGACAGAUGGAGAGAUGGGGAGAGAGAGAGAAGAGAGAGAUGCAGGGUCAGAAAGAGACAGACAGAUGGAGAGCGAGGCCAUGGAAGUCAGGCCCAGUGGCAGGUGGGCAGGGGAGCCCCUAGCGCACAGAAACCAGGUCUAGGAGCUUCAUCUCUGCCCGGGCCACUCCUGACCAGAACCUAGAAGAGACAUCAAAACCCAGCAGAGGUCCUGCUGUCUGCACACAGAUGUGGUGACCUCACCUCCCGCAGGGUACACGACCUUGCUGGGUGUGAACACAGAGACCGGCUCCACCAGCAGGGUCGGAGGGUCGGAUGUUACCUACUGAUACUUUUCUCAGCCCAAACAGCAUUUGAGGAGGUCUUAAAACUGAUUUCCUGGUUCUCUGUUUUGGAGCUGUUACUACAGGAGCCCAAACCUCCAUACCCGAAGGGAAGGACUCCAUGCGGCCCAGGGAACCCUCGUCCCUGCAUUUUAAGAUGAAAGAGAGCCUUUCGGAGCUCGAGCUGAAUGUUACAAGGGGUGAAUACAACAUACCUUAUCUCUUUAGGAGCACAGUUGUUUUUUAAAAAGUGGUCUUUUCUGCCCAAAACUCUAUAACAUGUUUGCCUGUGGCCGAAGGGCCAAAUA